GUCGUCGAAAAGAAAAGAUGGGGUGUUCUUGCUUCGGAGGAAGAAACAAAAGGGAUGAUAAAGAAUACAAGAGCAGUGAAAGAUUAAAAGGCGCUGCUGCUGGUCACCAUGGAACUGGUGGAGGAGGAGGGGGCUGUGGCGGCGGUGGAUGUGGAGGAGGAGGUGGCUGUGGCGGUGGUGGAUGUGGUGGUGGAUGUGGUGGUUGAGGGUGCGGAGGUGGAGGCUGUGCUGGUGACUAGCUAUACUCAGGUUUCAUGGUGGAGAUAUGUGUCUGU
rnacentral:sRNA from 1 species